rnacentral:rRNA from 1 species
UUCUUCUGGAUAACCGCAUGAAAGUGUGGCUAAUACGGGAUAUUCUGCGCCUGCUGCAUGGUGGGUGUGGGAAAGAUAUUGUUUCGGUGGGGGAUGGGCUCGCGGCCUAUCAGCUUGUUGGUGGGGUGAUGGCCUACCAAGGCGGUGACGGGUAGCCGGCCUGAGAGGGUGGAUGGUCACACUGGGACUGAGACACGGCCCAG